GAUGAACGCUGGCGGCGUGCCUAAUACAUGCAAGUCGAGCGAACGGACGAGAAGCUUGCUUCUCUGAUGUUAGCGGCGGACGGGUGAGUAACACGUGGAUAACCUACCUAUAAGACUGGGAUAACUUCGGGAAACCGUAGCUAAUACCGGAUAAUAUUUUGAACCGCAUGGUUCAAAAGUGAAAGACGGUCUUGCUGUCACUUAUAGAUGGAUCCACGCUGCAUUAGCUAGUUGGUAAGGUAACGGCUUACCAAGGCAACGAUGCAUAGCCGACCUGAGAGGGUGAUCGGCCACACUGGAACUGAGACACGGUCCAGACUCCUACGGGAGGCAGCAGUAGGGAAUCUUCCGCAAUGGGCGAAAGCCUGACGGAGCAACGCCGCGUGAGUGAUGAAGGUCUUCGGAUCGUAAAACUCUGUUAUUAGGGAAGAACAUAUGUGUAAGUAACUGUGCACAUCUGGACGGUACCUAAUCAGAAAGCCACGGCUAACUACGUG
rnacentral:rRNA from 1 species